GCCCUAUUGUGUCCUAUAAACAUGCCCAAAUACAGUUAAUAACAAUAAGUUAAUAACUACUGCAUGUACCAUCGUUCAACGCUUCAACCACAGGAACCAAGUGUCAUGUUGAUUAACACGCUCUAUCUAAAGUUCAUCAGCAUUGGACUGCUCUCCACCUUCGUCUGGAAGAUCAGAAGUCCACAGGGUCAGGUUGUCCCUAAGGAGUUGCAUAAUAAGGGUACUGUCCUUGUAGGAUUCUUCACUG
rnacentral:misc_RNA from 1 species